rnacentral:lncRNA from 1 species
GUACUGAAACAUACCAUACUUUAUGUAUUUGUGAUUCACAUACUUUUGAAGAAUUCUCUCUCUCAAACUGUGUGUGGUCUUCCAUAACUAAAUUCUGCCAGCCUCAACAAAGCCCUCUCUUGCAACUCUGAAUUUUUACCAAGGCAGUCAGAAGCUCUUCACAGCAAUGGUGGCACUUUAGAUAAUAGCAAUGGUGCCCUGACCAGGCUGC